rnacentral:tRNA from 3 species
GGGAGGUUAGCUCAGCGGUAGAGCGCUUCGUUUACACCGAAGAUGUCGGGGGUUCGAUCCCCUCACCUCCCACCA